rnacentral:lncRNA from 1 species
AAGCAAUGUUCCUUCCACGCAAUUACUCACAGUCUGCAGCGUCUUCAGGCAGCCAUCAUUUCACAUGAGAGCAGCUGCCUGGAGGAUGCAUUCCUGGAAGUGUGCACAGUGAGGAUGGCUUGGCAGUGAGCACUCUUCCCGCCCUCCUUUUUGUGUUUCUUCAAAAAUCCGGAAGCGAUCUAAAGGGACUGAGACAUUGUCUGGACUGGGGUUUCCUGUCUAGAAGAUGGGUCUGUUGUGGAUUCCAUGAGGUCAUAUGGAUCUUCUGCAUUUGGUUCUAGCUAACAGAUGGAUUGCGGUUGUAAGAGUCUUGAACGCCACAGGGAUCAUUACCUAAGAGUUGGACUUCUGGCAACUGAGCUCAAGACUGAUGCACGCUGUGUCUUAGGGUGCUCUCCUGGGCUGAGCAGGGCCUGGAGCAGGCAGAUGUGCUCACAGCUGCCCGGUGCCGGGAUACCACAGCCACUGUCCUGCUCAGUCCAGCCCUGGGCUUUGGUGUCCAGGCGGGAGAAACUUGGCUCUGUUGAGCUUUUCAAAAUAAAGUGGUUUUUAUUUCAUAUUCACGAGAGAGGUUGCAAAAGAGACUC